rnacentral:rRNA from 1 species
AUCGAACGCUGGCGGCAGGCCUAACACAUGCAAGUCGAGCGGAGCGGCGGACGGGUGAGUAAUGCCUAGGCAUCUGCCUGGUAGUGGGGGAUAACGUCCGGAAACGGGCGCUAAUACCGCAUACUUUCAGAUGAGCCUAGGUGGGAUUAGGUAGUUGGUGGGGUAAAGGCCUACCAAGGCGACGAUCCGUAACUGGUCUGAGUGGAUGAGUAACCACACUGGAACGGAGACACGGUCCAAACUCCUACGGGGGCCAACAGUGGGAAAUAUUGGACAAGGGGCGAAAGCCUAAUCCAGCCAUGCCGCGUGUGUGAAGAGGGUCUUCGGAUUGUAAGGCACUUUAAGUGGGGAGGCGUUACCGGCAGAAUAAGCACCGGCUAACUUCGUGCCAGCAGCCGCGGUAAUUC